ACCAUGGAUCUCCAGGUGGGU
rnacentral:miRNA from 12 species